UGUCUCAAAGAUUAAGCCAUGCAUGUCUCAGUACAAGCCGAAUUAAGGUGAAACCGCGAAAGGCUCAUUAAAUCAGUUAUGGUUCCUUAGAUCGUACCCACACUUACUUGGAUAACUGUGGUAAUUCUAGAGCUAAUACAUGCAAACAGAUCUCCGACCGGAGACGGAAGGAGUGCUUUUAUUAGAUCAAAACCAAUCGGCGGUGGUGACUCUGAAUAACUUUACGCUGAUCGCACGGUCCAGCACCGGCGACGCAUCUUUCAAAUGUCUGCCUUAUCAACUGUCGAUGGUAGGUUCUGCGCCUACCAUGGUCGUAACGGGUAACGGGGAAUCAGGGUUCGAUUCCGGAGAGGGAGCCUGAGAAACGGCUACCACAUCCAAGGAAGGCAGCAGGCGCGCAAAUUACCCACUCCCGGCACGGGGAGGUAGUGACGAAAAAUAACGGUACGGGACUCAUCCGAGGCCCCGUAAUCGGAAUGAGAACACUUUAAAUCCUUUAACAAGUAUCCAUUGGAGGGCAAGUCUGGUGCCAGCAGCCGCGGUAAUUCCAGCUCCAAUAGCGUA
rnacentral:rRNA from 1 species